GAUCAUGGCUCAGGAUGAACGCUGGCGGCGUGCCUAACACAUGCAAGUCGAACGAAGCACUUUGAUUUGAUUCUUCGGAUGAAGAUUAUUGUGAUUGAGUGGCGGACGGGUGAGUAACGCGUGAGGAACCUGCCUCAAAGAGGGGGACAACAGUUGGAAACGACUGCUAAUACCGCAUAAGCCCACGGCUCGGCAUCGAGCAGAGGGAAAAGGAGCAAUCCGCUUUGAGA
rnacentral:rRNA from 1 species